ACUGAAUCAAAUCAUGAAAAUAUCGUGAGGCCUAUUUUUUCAGUGGGGCCUGUAUGAACCCUUCCAACUUUGAAAGAGUUGGUUUGAUGAAAGAACAACAGCUGUACCUGAAGUCAAGCAGUCAAUCAGAAGAACGGCUAAAAUUUAAUACGAUUUUAUUAGAAGCUUGUAAAUGCCUGUUACUAAUUAUAUUACAAUUCCUGUAAGUGUCUGUGAAACACUAAGUGGAGAAUUCACAUAGGACUCAGGCAGGAUUGAACCAUGGAUUUUAAAGAGACACAAAUAACUUAAAAUGGUCACGUCUCCCCACAGAA
rnacentral:lncRNA from 1 species